CUGACCGAUAGUGAACCAGUACCGUGAGGGAAAGGCGAAAAGAACCCCGGCGAGGGGAGUGAAAAAGAACCUGAAACCGUGUACGUACAAGCAGUGGGAGCACAGGUUUACCUGUGUGACUGCGUACCUUUUGUAUAAUGGGUCAGCGACUUAUAUUCUGUAGCAAGGUUAACCGAAUAGGGGAGCCGGAGGGAAACCGAGUCUUAAUUGGGCGUUAAGUUGCAGGGUAUAGACCCGAAACCCGGUGAUCUAGCCAUGGGCAGGUUGAAGGUUGGGUAACACUAACUGGAGGACCGAACCGACUAAUGUUGAAAAAUUAGCGGAUGACCUGUGGCUGGGGGUGAAAGGCCAAUCAAACCGGGAGAUAGCUGGUUCUCCCCGAAAGCUAUUUAGGUAGCGCCUCGUGAAUUCAUCUCCGGGGGUAGAGCACUGUUUCGGCUAGGGGGCCAUCCCGGCUUACCAACCCGAUGCAAACUGCGAAUACCGGAGAAUGUUAUCACGGGAGACACACGGCGGGUGCUAACGUCCGUCGUGAAGAGGGAAACAACCCAGACCGCCAGCUAAGGUCCCAAAGUCAUGGUUAAGUGGGAAACGAUGUGGGAAGGCCCAGACAGCCAGGAUGUUGGCUUAGAAGCAGCCAUCAUUUAAAGAAAGCGUAAUAGCUCACUGGUCGAGUCGGCCUGCGCGGAAGAUGUAACGGGGCUAAACCAUGCACCGAAGCUGCGGCAGCGACACUGUGUGUUGUUGGGUAGGGGAGCGUUCUGUAAGCCUGUGAAGGUGUGUCGUGAGGCAUGCUGGAGGUAUCAGAAGUGCGAAUGCUGACAUAAGUAACGAUAAAGCGGGUGAAAAGCCCGCUCGCCGGAAGACCAAGGGUUCCUGUCCAACGUUAAUCGGGGCAGGGUGAGUCGACCCCUAAGGCGAGGCCGAAAGGCGUAGUCGAUGGGAAACGGGUUAAUAUUCCCGUACUUGGUGUUACUGCGAAGGGGGGACGGAGAAGGCUAUGUUGGCCGGGCGACGGUUGUCCCGGUUUAAGCGUGUAGGUGUGUGUUCCAGGUAAAUCCGGUUCACUUUAACACUGAGGCGUGA
rnacentral:rRNA from 1 species